rnacentral:rRNA from 1 species
CCCUAUGGGGUGCAGCAGGCCCGUACUGCUAACCGAGAGGCAGGGCAUUCCGGCCACAUGCCCAUCGGCCUUGCACUGGAAUUUCUCCGUUGUGUUAUGUCCAGCCCUGCCGCAGCACGAGCUGCUCUACAAGGGCGACUUGAGGGCCACGACCGGGAAAGCGACAGAGAUUACACGGAGCCCUUUGAGGCUGAUGGCGACGAUGAAGAAUUAAAGGAAAUGCGAGAGGAGGUUCCGCCUCGUUUGAUUGAGAACACCUCGUCCUGGGCAAAGGUAAUCGGCAGUCUUCAGGCCCUCGCCAUAGCGGCUCAGCGCCUUGAUGAAGCGCAGGACACUAAAAUCAGGUCGGCAGUCCAAGCUGUAUCAUGUCUCUUGUCCGAAGGAUUCGCUCCUGUCGUAUUCUGCCACUACGUUGAGACAGCCCAUUAUGUGGCCCGAAGACUGAAGGAGGAAUUGGCGGGGGGGC